GAGACUAAAGCUGCCCACUCUUUCUGUUUCUCUCUGACAGUUUUCCAACUCUCUGAGUCUCAUCUGUCUUUCUCUGACUUGACUCAGCUGGUGCUCUUCUACUCUCUGACCAGGGAUGUGCUGGCUGUUUGUCUCCACAUUCCUCGCUGGAUCUACAGCGUAACAGACACAAACAAAGAGCGUCUUUCACAGCUUGAACCUAAAACUUGGCUUUCCACACCACCUGAUCAACAGACUGAUGAAAUGUCCCAAAGGGAACCAAGCAGCAUGAUGUGCUCCAUACAG